rnacentral:misc_RNA from 1 species
UGCGGAGGAUCAUUAUCGUACAACCGAGGCACUUGGGCUGUCGCUGANCUUCAGGGGUCGUGCACGCCUGANCGCUCUCACACAAUCCAUCUCACCCCUUUGUGCAUCACCGCGUGGGUCCCCCUUUGCGGGGAGGGUUCGCGUUUUCACAUCAAACUUGAUACAGUGUAGAAUGUUUAUCUUUGCGGUCACACGCAAUCAAUACAACUUUCAACAACGGAUCUCUUGGCUCUCGCAUCGAUGAAGAACGCAGCGAAAUGCGAUACGUAAUGUGAAUUGCAGAAUUCAGUGAAUCAUCGAAUCUUUGAACGCACCUUGCGCCCCUUGGCAUUCCGAGGGGCACACCCGUUUGAGUGUCGUGAAAUUAUCAAAACCCUUUUCUUUGAUCCUUUUUGGAGCGGAAAAGGACUUUUGGACUUGGAGGUUCAAUGCUCGCUUUCNCCUAUGAAAGCGAGCUCCUCUCAAAUGAAUUAGUGGGGUCCGCUUUGCCGAUCCUUGAC